GCUGACGAGUGGCGAACGGGUGAGUAAGACAUCGGAACGUGCCCGAUCGAGGGGGAUAACGAAGCGAAAGCUUUGCUAAUACCGCAUAAGAUCCGAGGAUGAAAGCAGGGGACCGCAAGGCCUUGCGCGGACGGAGCGGCCGAUGGCAGAUUAGGUAGUUGGUGGGAUAAAAGCCUACCAAGCCGACGAUCUGUAGCUGGUCUGAGAGGACGACCAGCCACACUGGGACUGAGACACGGCCCAGACUCCUACGGGAGGCAGCAGUGGGGAAUUUUGGACAAUGGGCGCAAGCCUGAUCCAGCCAUGCCGCGUGCAGGAUGAAGGCCCUCGGGUUGUAAACUGCUUUUGUACGGAACGAAAAGGCCCUGGUGAACAGCUGGGGUUGCUGACGGUACCGUAAGAAUAAGCACCGGCUAACUACGUGCCAGCAGCCGCGGUAAUACGUAGGGUGCGAGCGUUAAUCGGAAUUACUGGGCGUAAAGCGUGCGCAGGCGGACAUGCAAGACAGAUGUGAAAUCCCCGGGCUCAACCUGGGAACUGCAUAUGUGACUGUAUGACUGGAGUACGGCAGAGGGGGAUGGAAUUCCGCGUGUAGCAGUGAAAUGCGUAGAUAUGCGGAGGAACACCGAUGGCGAA
rnacentral:rRNA from 1 species